rnacentral:rRNA from 1 species
GGAAUAGUCCCGGGAAACUGGGUUUAAUACCGUAUACGCCCUUCGGGGGAAAGAUUUAUCGGUGAAGGAUCGGCCCGCGUCUGAUUAGAUAGUUGGUGGGGUAAUGGCCUACCAAGUCUACGAUCAGUAGCUGGUUUGAGAGGAUGAUCAGCAACACUGGGACUGAGACACGGCCCAGACUCCUACGGGAGGCAGCAGUGGGGAAUCUUAGACAAUGGGCGCAAGCCUGAUCUAGCCAUGCCGCGUGAGUGAUGAAGGCCUUAGGGUCGUAAAGCUCUUUCGCCUGUGAAGAUAAUGACGGUAGCAGGUAAAGAAACCCCGGCUAACUCCGUGCCAGCAGCCGCGGUAAUACGGAGGGGGUUAGCGUUGUUCGGAAUUACUGGGCGUAAAGCGCACGUAGGCGGACUAAUAAGUCAGAGGUGAAAUCCCAGGGCUCAACCUUGGAACUGCCUUUGAUACUGUUAGUCUUGAGUUCGAGAGAGGUGAGUGGAAUUCCGAGUGUAGAGGUGAAAUUCGUAGAUAUUCGGAGGAACACCAGUGGCGAAGGCGGCUCACUGGCUCGAUACUGACGCUGAGGUGCGAAAGUGUGGGGAGCAAACAGGAUUAGAUACCCUGGUAGUCCACACCGUAAACGAUGAAUGCCAGUCGUCGGGUAGCAUGCUAUUCGGUGACACACCUAACGGAUUAAGC